CUGCUGGCUGGAAGGGACCUAUUUCAGAAUUAGUGUUCCACUUUUUUCUUAGAACUUUUUUGCUUUUAUUUUUUCCCCCCUACUAGCAGCAGCCAUAACAAAACCUGUCCUUGCAAAGAAGUGUCAUCAAAGGUGGAGUCAGAGUACAAAGAGGAAGAAACCUCCGUUUGACGCUGCCUCACUAAUCUCAGCAGUGUAUCACUCAUUAUUCUGCACAGGAUUAAAGGCUUUGCUGGGGCAGAUUCUUCAACUCAGACCUAAUUUUCCCACACCUGUCCUCAGCAUACAUUUUCCUCAGAGAAAAAAAGCUCUACAGUUUUUUUUCCCCUACAAAAAGGACUGGAGAUGUCACCUAGUAGUUAUCUGUGACUAUGAAAUCCAUAAUCCUUACAGGUAAUUAUGUAGUCUGCCUGGAAGUUCUCACUUUUGAGGUUUGGUUGUUGGAUGGCAGAGCUGCUGAUUCUGACAAUAACUCAAAUCUGUUGGGAUUGUGAGGAAGUCUGAGUACUCUUAUUUCAGGUCUAGUGAAUGUGCUGAGUAACAGCUGCUGUUUCUAAGAGUUACUCUUUUAUUGGUUUGGUUUUAAGGAUUGCUUACUCCAUCUGAGAUUUUGUUACAUCCAGCAAUUUUCAGGAUUCACUGUUAUGAUCCCCACUGCAGCUAUGACUCUCUUCAAGAUACAUAUUUUCUCUGGCUAUAUAAUGACUCUUCAGCUUUAAGAGCAUUUUUAUCAGGUCAGUCUAAGGUCAUGCAAGAAAUGUUGGG